UGGCUUGUGCUGUGUCUUGAUCAACAGU
rnacentral:piRNA from 1 species